rnacentral:misc_RNA from 1 species
AACGCACCUUGCGCUCUUUGGUAUUCCGAAGAGCAUGCCUGUUUGAGUGUCAUGAAAAUAUCAACCUUGACUUUGGUUUUGUGCUCUAGUCUCGGCUUGGAAUUGGGUGCUUGCCGCUUUUACGAGCGGCUCACCUUAAAUGUAUUAGCUGGAUCUGUCUUUGAGACUUGGUUUGACUUGGCGUAAUAAGUAUUUCGCUAAGGACAUUCUUCGGAGUGGCCUCGUUUCUAGGACGCUUGUCCGCUUUCCAAUACAAGUUCCACCUCGUGGACAUGACUUUUUAUUAUCUGGCCUCAAAUCAGGUAGGACUACCCGCUGAACUUAA